rnacentral:rRNA from 1 species
UGCCAGACUCCUACGGGAGGCAGCAGUGGGGAAUAUUGCACAAUGGGGGAAACCCUGAUGCAGCGACGCCGCGUGAGUGAAGAAGUAUUUCGGUAUGUAAAGCUCUAUCAGCAGGGAAGAAAAUGACGGUACCUGACUAAGAAGCCCCGGCUAACUACGUGCCAGCAGCCGCGGUAAUACGUAGGGGGCAAGCGUUAUCCGGAUUUACUGGGUGUAAGGGGAGCGUAGACGGCAGUGCAAGUCUGAAGUGAAAGCCCCGGGCUUAACCCGGGAAUUGCUUUGGAAACUGUACGGCUGGAGUGCUGGAGAGGUAAGCGGAAUUCCUAGUGUAGCGGUGAAAUGCGUAGAUAUUAGGAGGAGCACCAGUGGCGAAGGCGGCUUACUGGACAGUAACUGACGUUGAGGCUCGAAAGCGUGGGGAGCAAACAGGAUUAGAUACCCGUGUACUC